rnacentral:rRNA from 1 species
UGAGGAAUAUUGGUCAAUGGACGCAAGUCUGAACCAGCCAAGUAGCGUGCAGGAUGACGGCCCUAUGGGUUGUAAACUGCUUUUAUAUGGGGAUAAAGUGGGGAACGUGUUCCCUUUUGCAGGUACCAUAUGAAUAAGGACCGGCUAAUUCCGUGCCAGCAGCCGCGGUAAUACGGAAGGUUUGGGCGUUAUCCGGAUUUAUUGGGUAUAAAGGGAGCGUAGGCCGUUUGGUAAGCGUGUUGUGAAAUGUAGGAGCUCAACUUCUAGAUUGCAGCGCGAACUGUCAGACUUGAGUGCGCACAACGUAGGCGGAAUUCAUGGUGUAGCGGUGAAAUGCUUAGAUAUCAUGAAGAACUCCGAUUGCGAAGGCAGCUUACGGGAGCGCAACUGACGCUGAAGCUCGAAGGUGCGGGUAUCGAACAGG